rnacentral:lncRNA from 1 species
AUGAAGGCGGGCUUGGGAAAGGCUGGCAAGAGAAGCCGCUUGCUAGUUUCAUUAAGCCUGAGUAGCCCGCGAAGCAGGGAGGACAGCGCUGCUCGCUGGGCGAAGAAUAAAGCCCCCCCGGACCCCCCACCCCGCCCCCGGCGCCAACCCGCGCCCACCGGGUCCCGUCUCCAAGUUCCCUACCUCGCCGCGGAGGAGCGUCCUCUUCCUGCGCCCACACGGCACCACCAGCCCGCCCGGCCCCGGAGCCGCACGGGAGCGGCCGCCCCGGGAGGUGCGGGGGGCCCGGGGCGUGAGCUCCGCAGCCCCCCGCCCCCCCGCGCGCCGCCGCCGCCGCCGCCACACCCCCGGCCCCCGGCCCCCGGCCCGCGCCUCUCCCCUCCCCUCCCCCGGCCCGGCCUGGCCCGUCUCCGCCCCCCGCGGCCGCGGGUCCCGCGCGCCCGCCCUGCCCUGCCCUGCCCUGCCCUGCCCUGCCCCGCACGCACCUUCAGGGCGCCCCGCGCCGGGGCCCGGGGGACCGCACGGCCCGCGCCGAGCGGCGGGAAGCGCUCCUCGCCGUCCUCGUCGUCGUCGUCCACCUCGACGACCACCUCCUCGUCCUCGUCCUCCUCGUCGUCAUCCUCCUCCUCCGCGCCCCCUCGGGGCUUCUCCGCCACCCGCCCGAGCCCCCUCCGCCGCCUGCUCCCGCCUUCCUCGUCCUCGUCCUCCUCCCCGAGCAGCAGCAGCACCGGCGACGAGGCGGCGGCGGCGGCGGCCCGAGGGGGGCCGGUCCCGGCGCUGCGCGGCGGCGGCGGCGGCGGCCUCCAGCUCUCCGGGGCCGGGGCCGGGGCCGGGGCCGGGGCCGGGGCCGGGUUCGCGCCCGGGCCGAGGGGCGGGAGGCCGGGCACGGUGCCUUCCCUGGCAGGCGCGGGGCCGGGCGCCUGCAACGCGGCGCCCCCCCGGCGGCUGCCCAGGCUGGAGCGCUUGGCUAGACGCCGCGCCUGCAUGCCUGACCGCGGGCUGCCAGCCGCGGCGCGAGCCGGGGAGUUUGUCCCCCUCCGCCGCCGCCGCCGCCGCCGCCGCCGCCUCUUCCUCCCCGGCGGCCGCUGUGGUCGCAGGCGCCCCGGGCGCGCGGGGCUGCAGGGGGGCCGCGGGAGCCGCCUCCCCGGGCUUGCAGCUGCCACUGGCUGCAGAGGCGCGGGCGCCGCCUUCGCUGGACCGGCCCGCGGGGACGCCGGCGGCCGGCGGCUACGGCGGGGCGGCGCGGCGGCCGCGGGCGGGGGUGGGUGUGAGCGAGCGGCGCGCUGCCGCCUCCGCCGCCGCCGCCGCCGCCGCCCCGGAGCCGCGGGCCGCGCUGCGCUCCAUGCGGCCGGCGGCCGGGCCCGCGCGCGCCUCUCCCGGGCCGCUGCGCCGCGCGGUGCUGGCCUAGGCUGCCGGCCCUCGGCGCGAGCCGCCUGUGUUGUGUGUGCGCCGCCCCCGCCCCCGCCCCCGCCCCCGCCUCGCGAGCCCUUCCUCGCCGCCCUGCGGCCCCCCGCGCAGACAAAACCCGGACUGGAUUCACUUCCCCUGCCCUCAGCCUCCGCGAACGCGGCGCCUCCGAGCAGUCGGCCCGGGCGCCGCGGCCGAGGCUGCCCCUUCCGCAGGGUGGACGCCGGCGGGGCGGGCCGCGGGCCGCUGGGUCAGACCCGGACUUGGCAGGAAGAGCUUGGCCGCAGGUGGCUCCCCUGGUCUCUGCGGCGCACGGCGCGACGACUCUCGGCCGCGGGUGAAGCCCCAGAAGGCCUUCCGACUCUUGAGUUCCAUGAUGUAAGAAGACAUUGA